CCUAAUGACUCGUAAGCAAGACGGAAAUUUCUACAGGCCCUUCCUCCUCCACUCCGAUCACCGAUUUCUAUUGCAAUUUUCAAAUGUUUCUCAAUGUACUCAAUCGAUUUUCGAUAGUUUCCAAGUGAAAGAAUUACCGAGAUUUCCAUAGGCUAUUCCUUCUCCACUCGGAUCACCGAUUUCUAUUGCAAUUUUCAACUGUUUCUCAAGGUACUCAAUGGAUUUUCGAUAGUCACCAAGUGACUGGUAAGAAAUA